rnacentral:rRNA from 1 species
UUAAAGGAAUUGACGGGGACCCGCACAAGCGGUGGAACAUGUGGUUUAAUUCGACGCAAAGCGAAAAACCUCACCCAAGGUUUGACAUACCAAUCGUAUCCCUAAGAAACUAGGGAGUCAGUUCGGCUGGAUUGGAUACAGGUGUUGCAUGGCUGUCGUCAGCUCGUGUCGUGAGAUGUCGGGUUAAGUCCUUUAACGAGCGCAACCCUCAUUGCAUGUUAAUUUUCAUGCGAGACUGCCCUGGUUAACAGGGAGGAAGGUGGGGAUGACGUCAAGUCAGCAUGGCCCUUACACCUUGGGCUACACACGUGUUACAAUGGCCGGUACAAUAAGUCGCAAUACCGUAAGGUGGAGCUAAUCUAUGAAAACCGGUCCCAGUUCGGAUUGGGGGCUGAAACUCGCCCCCAUGAAGUCGGAAUCGCUAGUAACCGUGAAUCAGCACGUCACGGUGAAUACGUUCCCGGGUCUU